rnacentral:lncRNA from 1 species
GUGGAAACAAGUGGAUCUCACCUCUGCUCGGCAGGGGAAUGAUGCUCUGAGGUUAUUUCUAAUUUGUUUCCUACUGUUACACAGUAAAUUAGCACAAAAUUAGUGGUUUAAAUCAACACAAGUGUUUUACACUGGUGUCUGUGCAUCUGGAGUCAGGGACAUUUUAGUUACAGCCUUUGCUGAGGGUCUCAUGAAGCUGAAAUCAAGGUAUCUGCUGACUUCAUACUCGUGGAGACUCUACGAGACACUUCCAGACUUCCUCAACUGAUAGGGUUUGGGUCUUAAAUGCCAAAAACCCAUAUAUUAAAGGCUUGAUCUCCAGCCUGUGGUCCUAUUGAGAAGUAGUAGAACCUUAAGGGUUGGGGCCUGUUUAAAAGAAGUUAGGUCAUUGAGUAGAUGGGUGCCCUUGAAGGGAAUACUAGAAUCCUCGCCCUGCUCUCUCUCACUUUGCUUCCCAGAUGGCAUGAGGUGCACAGACCGCCUUUACCAUGUGUUCCUGACACUGUGAAGUACUGUGCCACUGCAGGCCCAAAGCAAGCAGGUCAGAUGACCAUGGACUGCAAUUUCUGAGACUUAAGGUUCCUUUUAAGUUGAUUCUCAGGCAUUUUGUUACAGCACAGAAAACUGACUAACAAAGUUCUUGCCAGAAUUCAUUUCUUUGUUGUCCUAUGACUAAGGGUCCCAUAUUUUUACUUCCUGUCACACGGUUACUGCUUCGUGUUCCUAGAGACCACUCUGAGGUCCUUGCCAUGUGUUGCAGUUUGCUCCUUCAAUUAUCUUUCUGACACUUAAUCAUCUUUAAAGGCUUACCUCAUUAGUCAGUCUCAUCCCCAAUAAUCUCCCUUUUAAUCAAAUCAAAGUCAGCUGAUUAGAAACCUGAUCAUAGAAGUGGUAUCCCAUCAUAUUCACUGGUACUGUCAAACUUGGGAAAGUAGGGGAUUAUAGAGGGUACACACACACUUAGACACACAAAUAUAUAAAUAACCCUAGUGUACACACACAUACACACACGAUGAUAUUUCAGUCAAUGUUAGCAUAGUCAUUGUGGUCCCAUAGAUUGUUAUUAUUUAGUGAAAUUGUAGCCAUCCUAGUUCAUGUACGUUUACUCUGUGAUGUUUGUACAACAAUGAAAUUUCCUAAUGACUCAUUUCUCUGUAUGUAUCCCCAUAAUUAACUACAUGUGACUGUGUAUGCGCUUGCACAUGUGUGUCAUACAGGAUUGUGUAAACUUGAGAAAGUUACUUCUCUAAUCCUUACUUUCAUAUAUUCUGAAUACUAAUAUAUGACUUAUUGGGAUUGUUUUAAUGAGUAAUUAUAUAUAGACUAUUAUGUAAUUAUAU